UACGGAGGGUGCAAGCGUUAAUCGGAACUACUGGGCGUAAAGCGUGCGUAGGCGGCUUGUUAAGUCAGAUGUGAAAGCCCCGGGCUUAACCUGGGAACUGCAUUUGAAACUGGCAAGCUAGAGUUGAGUAGAGGGGAGUGGAAUUUCAGGUGUAGCGGUGAAAUGCGUAGAUAUCUGAAGGAACACCAGUGGCGAAGGCGACUCCCUGGACUCAAACUGACGCUGAGGCACGAAAGCGUGGGUAGCAAACAGG
rnacentral:rRNA from 1 species